rnacentral:rRNA from 1 species
GCGGCGUGCCUAAUACAUGCAAGUCGAACGCACUCAUGUCGACAGAAGGUGCUUGCACUGGAAGUUGAUUGACGUGAGUGGCGGACGGGUGAGUAACACGUGGGUAACCUGCCCUUAAGCGGGGGAUAACAUUUGGAAACAGAUGCUAAUACCGCAUAAAGUUGAGAUCACAUGGUCUUAAUUUGAAAGACGGCCUUUGGCUGUCACUUGAGGAUGGACCCGCGGCGUAUUAGCUAGUUGGUGAGAUAAUAGCCCACCAAGGCGAUGAUACGUAGCCGACCUGAGAGGGUAAUCGGCCACAUUGGGACUGAGACACGGCCCAAACUCCUACGGGAGGCAGCAGUAGGGAAUCUUCCACAAUGGACGAAAGUCUGAUGGAGCAACGCCGCGUGAGUGAAGAAGGUUUUCGGAUCGUAAAACUCUGUUGUUGGAGAAGAACAGGGACUAGAGUAACUGUUAGUCCUUUGACGGUAUCCAACCAGAAAGCCACGGCUGACUACGUGCCAGCAGCCGCGGUAAUACGUAGGUGGCAAGCGUUGUCCGGAUUUAUUGGGCGUAAAGCGAGCGCAGGCGGUUUCUUAAGUCUGAUGUGAAAGCCUUCGGCUUAACCGAAGAAGUGCAUCAGAUACUGGGAAACUUGAGUGCAGAAGAGGAAAGUGGAACUCCAUGUGUAGCGGUGAAAUGCGUAGAUAUAUGGAAGAACACCAGUGGCGAAGGCGGCUUUCUGGUCUGUAACUGACGCUGAGGCUCGAAAGUAUGGGGAGCGAACAGGAUUAGAUACCCUGGUAGUCCAUACCGUAAACGAUGAAUGCUAAGUGUUGGAGGGUUUCCGCCCUUCAGUGCUGCAGCUAACGCAUUAAGCAUUCCGCCUGGGGAGUACGACCGCAAGGUUGAAACUCAAAGGAAUUGACGGGGGCCCGCACAAGCGGUGGAGCAUGUGGUUUAAUUCGAAGCUACGCGAAGAACCUUACCAGGUCUUGACAUCUAGCGCCAAUCCUAGAGAUAGGACGUUCCCUUCGGGGACGCUAAGACAGGUGGUGCAUGGUUGUCGUCAGCUCGUGUCGUGAGAUGUUGGGUUAAGUCCCGCAACGAGCGCAACCCUUAUGAUUAGUUGCCAGCAUUUAGUUGGGCACUCUAAUCAGACUGCCGGUGACAAACCGGAGGAAGGUG